UACGAAGGGGGCUAGCGUUGCUCGGAAUCACUGGGCGUAAAGGGUGCGUAGGCGGGUCUUUAAGUCAGGGGUGAAAUCCCGGGGCUCAACCCCGGAACUGCCUUUGAUACUGGUAGUCUCGAGUCCGGAAGAGGUGAGUGGAAUUCCGAGUGUAGAGGUGAAAUUCGUAGAUAUUACGGAGGAACACCAGUGGCGAAGGCGGCUCACUGGCCCGAUACUGACGCUGAGGCACGAAAGCGUGGGGAGCAAACAGG
rnacentral:rRNA from 1 species